rnacentral:rRNA from 1 species
AGCAGCCGCGGUAAUUCCAGCUCCAACAGCGUAUAUUAAAGUUGUUGCAGUUAAUAAGCUCGUAGUUGAAUUUCGGGGUUCUACCGUUGGUCGGGCUUUGUCUGUACUGGCGUGUAGAAUUUCUACCUUCUGGGGAACCGUCAUGUUAUUAAUUUAACGUGGUGGGAAACCAGGACCUUUACCUUGAGAAAAUUAGAGUGUUCAAAGCAGGCUUAUGUCUGAAUACAUUAGCAUGGAAUAAUAGAAUAGGACGGUGGUCCUGUUUUGUUGGUUUCUGAAUCACCGUAAUGAUUAAUAGGGAUAGUUGGGAGCAUUAGUAUUCAAUUGUCAGAGGUGAAAUUCUUGGAUUUAU